GUGCUCGCUUCGGCAGCACAUGCAUUACAACUGAACAGAUACAGAGAAGAUUAGCAUGGCCCCUGCGCAAGGAUGACAUGAACAUUCAUGAAGCGCUCCAUAUUUUU